rnacentral:lncRNA from 1 species
GAUUAUGUCACCAAUAUUUCUAGAGGUUUACAUUUUCACCUUCCCUUUUCUGGUUCACCUUGGAAAGUGGGUGUUGCCGCAUUCUGUCUGGGUGCUGGUGGUACUUGUUUAAAAUGAUGCUUUCGUGUUUACCUUGAACCAUGGUGUAGAAAGAAUCGAUCGAGGACAGAUUUGAAGUGAUGCUGACAUCUUCUUCUCGGCUAGAUGACUCAAUGUCCACUGUGAUAGCCUUGUCCAUGUCCCCAUGCAGCACCAGAGAAAAUUUCAAAAAUGAUGGUGUCGUCUGAAGAAAGAAAAAAAAAAAAGCAAAAAUCUGGAUGAGAAAUUAGGAGUUUCCUUGGGACCACAAUAUACUAAAGGGUGGAUUUCAGAUUGAUUCUAAGACUGCUUCACUAAUCGAAGGUUCCCAGUGAGAUGGAGACCUGAAUCAACAUCCUACUUGAAUGCGGACGAGUAAAAACUUUUUCACAGAUUAGCACCUAUGUCAACAGAAAUGAAAACGAGAUGAAGGAAAGACAUCAGAAAAAUGACCCGGGGACUCUGACUAAGGGAGUGAAAGAAAAUGUCUUCAAAGACGACUCUCAGGUACUUCCAUAAACAUCAGGCUAACUCUUCUUUACCUCCACAAAAGAAGAAAACCAAUGCACCCACGAAUGUCCAGCUAGCCUCUGAAAUACUCUGACUCCAGGUCUUAAAAAGACCUUUCCAACAACUAGAUAUGCCUCUGGGCGGAUUCAGAUUCUCUUGCUUAUUUGCAACUGUGUGACUCAACUGAACGUUGCUUGGCCUUAGUGGUGAACUAGCCCUGCCCAGCUUAUAGAUUUGAGAGGUAGUUUUCCUUUAUUAGCUUUUUGAAUGUACAAUGCAAUAGGCUCCAGGGAAUUUGAAUAGAACAUCAACUUCAUGCCCCCCAUUGCAUUCCUCUGGCCUUAGCCUCAUGGUUUCAAAUUCAUAACACAGCACAUUCCUUCCUGCUCCUGCCUGACCCCUCUUUACAAAGGACUCUCGCUGGAAAGGACAAACUUCCUCAGGCUCUCCGUGACCUACCGCUCUUCCACUGAUGAGAUGCCCUUAUUUGAUGUUUAUCUGUUUGUUGGUCUUUAAUUUGGAUUGCAUGUUUGCCUAGUUGCUGUUUUAGCUUUUGUGGUAUAUUUUUAAAUCUCUUUUUAAAGUUUCCUAAGUAGUGGGAUUAUCGACAAAUGCCUCGGAGAAUCACAGCCUCAGUCAUUCUCAGCUGAGAAUGCUAUAUUCAACCUGACGUGAAGCUCCUAACUUUCUCCUUUUCCUUGGUAAUGUCUCUCAGAUAUUUAUCUUUCUAUUCCCAGAGCUUCCCUAGACUUUUAAAAUGG